CAUAUUAGCCAGGUCCAGAAUGUUUUUAUCAAGUUCUCGCAGCUGAGACCCGGAAGUAAAAGGCGGACCAAAACCGGAAACGAGUCAUUGUUUUCCUUGGCGUUUUGUUUGCUCAUAUUUUUUGUGUUCUUCAAACACGUGAGCGAAGUUAGUUUAGGGACUUUCGGUCUCAAUCAGGCAUUUUUGGAUUGUUUUUUAAAUGUGCAGGAGACGACCACUGUCCAGGAACGUUGUCUCCGCGUCGGCUGCUGGCUGUCUGCGUGCAAAAGUGGCGACGUGUUGUGCAAAGCCGAUUGCGUCAAGCCAAGUGUUGGAUGACAGUCGCCGCCUGGUGAACGGGACCUAAGAAAAAGGACACCGGCUUACAGCGCAUUUCUGGAGGGAGACGAGCCAAGGAGAUGUCCAACCGCUUCCGAGGGCCUCAGACUGGACAAGCCUGAACACAAACAGGAGGUACGCAAUGAACCCGUCAAGCUUUUAAUUCAGUUUAAUUUUAAUGUGGGUCAACUUGAGAUUUCAGCUGCAAUUUCGAAACUCUUUGCCCAGCAGGCGCAGCGUCUUGGUGACCAAAGUGCAGACGCCACGAUGGCACCAACUGGAAGCUUCUCAGCAGUCAAAAAAAAAAAUGUUUUAGCAUCUUGGCUCAUCUCAGAACGUUGUUCAUGACGUCAUGUUCGCUCCACCACCUGCAACAACAGUCUUUUUAAAUGUCUUUUCCGACAGAAGCAUUAUUGGCGAAAAAGAUCAACGGUACUUGAGCCCGUCCACCGUCUUCCUGGAGGGGAUGCCGAUUCAGAUUUUCUGGUGCAAACAGUUGCUUUGGCGCCGCCUAGUGGACAUGAGCAGAAAGACAGUACAGGAUGUGAAAUGUACCUUUUCAACUGAAUCUGCAAAAGAGAAAAUGUGUUAAAAAAUGGUCACGUCAGCCAUCUUGUUUUGCUGCAUGCUCAAACCCAGCAGACUGCCUCAUUCGCUGUUGUCUUAUUCCUCAGUCAGCUCUGGAUGAAGUCAAGAUGCCGUUUCACCUGCGCACACACAAAA